UCGAAGCUGCGCUUCUCGUGCAUCGGCAUUUUCCCUGGGGCCUUACCGAUCCUUAAGGGAGCUGUCCCUGGACCGGUCCGUGGACCGGACUACACGGCGCCCACCUACUUUGUAGGUUUCCCAGGAUCGACGCUGACACGGUUGUUGCGGCUUCACU
rnacentral:other from 1 species